AGAGUUUGAUCCUGGCUCAGGGUUAACGCUGGCGGCGUGCCUAACACAUGCAAGUCGAACGGUUCUAAGCGCGAGCUUAGGAUAGUGGCGAACGGGUGAGUAAAAGGUAGGAAUCUACCCCUUGGACGGAGAUAGCUACUGGAAACGGUAGGUAAACUUCGAUAAGCCCGAGAGGGGAAAGUGGUGAGACAGCCGAGGGAUGAGCCUACUCUCCAUCAGGUAGUUGGUGAGAUAAAAGCUUACCAAGCCGAUGACGGAUAACCGGUGUGAGAGCAUGAACGGUCACAAGGGCACUGAGAGACGGGCCCUACUCCUACGGGAGGCAGCAGUGGGGAAUCUUGGACAAUGGGCGAAAGCCUGAUCCAGCGACGCCACGUGGAGGAAGAAGUCCUUCGGGAUGUAAACUUCUGAACUAGCCGAAUAAAAGGCCUGUGGACACACAGGAGAAGAAAGUAGGCUAGGAAAAGUCCCGGCUAACUACGUGCCAGCAGCCGCGGUAAGACGUAGGGGGCAAGCGUUACCCGGAAUUACUGGGCGUAAAGGGGGCGUAGGCGGUAAAAGAAGUCAUCUGUGAAAACCUAUUGCUCAACGAUAGGCUAGCGGAUGAAACUGAAUUACUUGAGGGCACCAGAGGUAGACGGAAUUACCCGAGUAGGGGUGAAAUCCGCAGAUACGGGUAGGAACGCCGGUGGAGAAGUCGGUCUACUGGGGUGCACCAGACGCUGAGGCCCGAAAGCUAGGGGAGCAAACCGGAUUAGAUACCCGGGUAGUCCUAGCCGUAAACGAUGCUCACUAGGUGUAGGGAGUGAUAAACUCUCUGUGCUGAAGCGAACGCGCUAAGUGAGCCGCCUGGGGAGUACGUCCGCAAGGAUGAAACUCAAAGGAAUUGACGGGGGUCCGCACAAGCGGUGGAGCAUGUGGUUUAAUUCGAUGGUAACCGAAGAACCUUACCAGGGAUUGACAUGUAACUGAAGGUAGAGAAAUCUACUGGCCUGCUGCAAAGCGGGAGGUUACACAGGUGGUGCACGGCCGUCGUCAGCUCGUGCCGUGAGGUGUUGGGUUAAGUCCCGCAACGAGCGCAACCC
rnacentral:rRNA from 1 species